AUUAAACCAUCAAGCCUGAAUUUUGCAUUUUUAUAUAACUUGUAUUGUAAGUUAUUCAACCUAACUUGCAUUUUCGAUUUUUCGAUACAUUUUCAAUUUCUAAGUGAUUCACUAAGUCACUUUUCACUUCAUGGGUAAAUUCCCUAAGAAUUCAUUGAAAUUCAUUUCCAUAAAUACACUUUGAACCAUAAUUCCAUUUUUAUUCAUGAUUUUUCAAUCUAUAUACAUAAGGUUCA
rnacentral:lncRNA from 1 species